UGAAUGGAGAGUUUGAUCCUGGCUCAGAACGAACGCUGGCGGCGUGCUUAACACAUGCAAGUCAAGGGGAAAGGGAUUUCGGUCCUGAGUAUACUGGCGCACGGGUGAGUAACACGUGAACAAUCUGCCUUUAAGUUAAGAAUAACUUGCCGAAAGGUGAGCUAAUACUGGAUAUGAAAUAGUUCGCAUGGAUUAUUUGGAAAG
rnacentral:rRNA from 1 species